rnacentral:rRNA from 1 species
GACGAACGCUGGCGGCGUGCUUAACACAUGCAAGUCGAACGGAAAGGCCCUGCUUUUGUGGGGUGCUCGAGUGGCGAACGGGUGAGUAACACGUGAGUAACCUGCCCUUGACUUUGGGAUAACUUCAGGAAACUGGGGCUAAUACCGGAUAGGAGCUCCUGCUGCAUGGUGGGGGUUGGAAAGUUUCGGCGGUUGGGGAUGGACUCGCGGCUGAUCAGCUUGUUGGUGGGGUAGUGGCUUACCAAGGCUUUGACGGGUAGCCGGCCUGAGAGGGUGACCGGCCACAUUGGGACUGCGAGACGGACCAGAGUCCUACGGGAGGCAGCAGUGGGGAAUAUGGCACAAUGGGCGGAAGCCGGAUGCAGCAACGCUGGGUGCGGGAUGACGGCCUUCGGGUUGUAAACCGCUUUCGCCUGUGACGAAGCGUGAGUGACGGUAAUGGGUAAAGAAGCACCGGCUAACUACGUG